GAUGAACGCUGGCGGCGUGCCUAAUACAUGCAAGUCGAGCGAACGGACGAGAAGUUUGCUGCUCUGAUGUUAGCGGCGGACGGGUGAGUAACACGUGGAUAACCUACCUAUAAGACUGGGAUAACGUCGGGAAACCGUAGCUAGUACCGGAUAAUAGUUUGAACCGCAGGGUGCAAAAGGGAAAGGCGGUCGUGCUGCUACUGAUAGAUGGAUCCGCGCUGGAUUAGCUAGUUGGUAAGGUAACGGCUUACCACGGCAACGAUGCCUAGCCGACCGGAGAGGGUGAUCGGCCACACUGGAACUGAGACACGGUCCAGACUCCUACGGGAGGCAGCAGUAGGGAAUCUUCCGCAAAGGGCGAAAGCCUGACGGAGCAGCGCCGCGUGAGUGAUGAAGGUCUUCGGCUUGUAAAACUCUGCUAUUAGCGAAGACCAUGUGUGUACGUGACUGUGCACAUCCUGACGGUACCUAAACAGAAAGCCCCGGCUAACUACGUG
rnacentral:rRNA from 1 species